rnacentral:tRNA from 1 species
GCGGUAAUCGUUGAAACCACAAGAUGGCUGACUGUAAAUCAGCCGCCGUAUGGCUUCGAAGGUUCGAGUCCUUCCUUCCCCA